UACGGGGGGGGCAAGCGUUGUUCGGAUUUACUGGGCGUAAAGAGCGCGCAGGCGGUCGUUCAAGUCGCGUGUGAAAGCCCCCGGCUCAACUGGGGAGGGUCACGCGAUACUGAUCGACUCGAAGGCAGGAGAGGGAAGUGGAAUUCCCGGUGUAGUGGUGAAAUGCGUAGAUAUCGGGAGGAACACCAGUGGCGAAGGCGACUUCCUGGCCUGUUCUUGACGCUGAGGCGCGAAAGCUAGGGGAGCAAACGGG
rnacentral:rRNA from 1 species